GGGGUGAAGAUAAGAUGGAUUAGCGGCGGACGGGUGAGUAACACGUGAGUAACCUGCCUUAGACAUUGGGAUAGCCUCGGGAAACCGGGAUUAAUACCAAAUGAAAUCACAUAUGCACAUGCAUAAAUGAUCAAAGCUCCGGCGGUCUAAAAUGGACUCGCGUCCCAUUAGCUAGUUGGUGAGGUAACGGCCCACCAAGGCGACGAUGGGUAGCCGGCCUGAGAGGGUAAACGGCCACAUUGGAACCGAGAAACGGUCCAAACUCCUACGGGAGGCAGCAGUGGGGAAUAUUGCACAAUGGAGGGAACUCUGAUGCAGCGACGCCGCGUGAACGAAGAAGGCUUUCGAGUCGUAAAGUUCUUUUAUAUGGGAAGAUAAUGACGGU
rnacentral:rRNA from 1 species